rnacentral:rRNA from 1 species
GUAGGUGGCAAGCGUUGUCCGGAAUUAUUGGGCGUAAAGCGCGCGCAGGCGGUUCUUUAAGUCUGAUGUGAAAGCCCACGGGCUCGACCGUGGAGGGUCAUUGGAAACUGGAGAACUUGAGUACAGAAGAGGAAAGCGGAAUUCCACGUGUAGCGGUGAAAUGCGUAGAGAUGUGGAGGAACACCAGUGGCGAAGGCGGCUUUCUGGUCUGUAACUGACGCUGAGGCGCGAAAGCGUGGGGAGCAAACAGGAUUAGAUACCCUGGUAGUCCACGCCGUAAACGAUGAGUGCUAAGUGUUAGGGGGUUUCCGCCCCUUAGUGCUGCAGCUAACGCAUUAAGCACUCCGCCUGGGGAGUACGGCCGCAAGGCUG